CAUGACAUAGUGGGGAUCAACUAACAAUCCUACAAAGAGUCGAGAAAACAAUCCUAAAAGCAGGAUUAACCAAAUGAAACGAAAAAGACAACAGUUGAAAAGUAGGACAAAGAAGGAAUUUUCAUUCAGAUAACACUGAUGGAUAAAAAGGUUAAAGAAAAGCACAUUUGUUAUAUAAUGUGAAUCGCAAGUACUACAAAGAGGACGCUG
rnacentral:lncRNA from 1 species